rnacentral:rRNA from 1 species
CCCUUAGAUGUUCUGGGCCGCACGCGUGCUACACUGAUGCAUUCAACGAGUCUAAAACCUGGUCUGAUAGGGGUGGGUAAUCUUUUGAAUGUGCAUCGUGAUUGGGAUAGAUGAUUGCAAUUUUUCAUCUUCAACGAGGAAUGCCUAGUAAACGCAAGUCAUCAGCUUGCAUUGAUUACGUCCCUGCCCUUUGUACACACCGCCCGUCGCACCUACCGAUUGAAUGUUUCGGUGAAGAUUCCGGAUAGGACUUUUUUGAUUUAUUUCAAUUUUGUCUUAAAAGCUAUCUAAACCUCAACAUUUAGAGGAAGGUGAAGUCGUAACA